rnacentral:rRNA from 1 species
CAGUAGCCGCGGGAAUACAGAGGGUGCGAGCGUUAAUCGGAUUUACUGGGCGUAAAGCGUGCGUAGGCGGCUUCUUAAGUCGGAUGUGAAAUCCCUGAGCUUAACUUAGGAAUUGCAUUCGAUACUGGGAAGCUAGAGUAUGGGAGAGGAUGGUAGAAUUCCAGGUGUAGCGGUGAAAUGCGUAGAGAUCUGGAGGAAUACCGAUGGCGAAUGCAGCCAUCUGGCCUAAUACUGACGCUGAGGUACGAAAGCAUGGGGAGCAAACAGGAUUAGAUACCCGUGUAGUCCCUGUCUCUUAUAC